UUACGUCUUGGGGAUUACGACCCCAAGGUUGAAAUUAAAAGGAAUGGUUUGGGGGCCGGCACAAGCGGUGGACCAUGUGGUUUAUUUGGACCCAACGGGAAGAACCUUACCAGUCUUUGACUUCCUUGACCCACUCUAGCGAUAGAGUUCCCCCUUGGGGGCAAAAGGGCCAGGUGGUCCAUGGUGCUGUUCAGUUCGUUCCUUGAGUUGUUGGGUUAAUUCCCGCAACGAGCGCAACCCUUAUUUUUAGUCCCCUUCAUUUAGUUGGCCAUUCUAGCGAGCCUGCCGGGGCCAAACCGGAGGAAGGUGGGGAUGACGUCAAAUCAUCAUGCCCCUUAUGACCUGGGCUCCCCACGUGUUCCAAUGGGAAGUCCAACGAGUUGGGAAGUCGCGAGGUUAAGUUAAUUUUUUAAAGCUUCUUCCAGUUCGGAUGGUAGGCUGCAAUUGGCUUCCAGGAAGCCGGAAUCGUUGGUAAUCGCGGAUCACCCCGCCCCGGGGAAUACGUUCCCGGCCCUGGUCCCCACCGCCCGUCCCACCACGAGAGUUGGUACCACCCGAAGUCGGUGAGGUAACCUUUU
rnacentral:rRNA from 1 species